GACGAACGCUGGCGGCGUGCUUAACACAUGCAAGUCGAACGGAAAGGCCCAGCUUGCUGGGUGCUCGAGUGGCGAACGGGUGAGUAACACGUGGGUGAUCUGCCUCUCACUUCGGGAUAAGCUUGGGAAACUGGGUCUAAUACCGGAUAGGACAAUCGUUUAGUGUCGGUUGUGGAAAGUUUUUUCGGUUAGGGAUGAGCCCGCGGCCUAUCAGCUUGUUGGUGGGGUAAUGGCCUACCAAGGCGUCGACGGGUAGCCGGCCUGAGAGGGUGGACGGCCACAUUGGGACUGAGAUACGGCCCAGACUCCUACGGGAGGCAGCAGUGGGGAAUAUUGCACAAUGGGCGCAAGCCUGAUGCAGCGACGCCGCGUGGGGGAUGACGGCCUUCGGGUUGUAAACCUCUUUCGACAGGGACGAAGCUUUGGUGACGGUACCUGUAUAAGAAGCACCGGCUAACUACGUG
rnacentral:rRNA from 1 species